AUUGAACGCUGGCGGCAUGCCUAACACAUGCAAGUCGAACGGCAGCACAGCCGUAGCAAUACGGUGGGUGGCGAGUGGCGGACGGGUGAGGAAUGCAUCGGAAUCUGCCCGGUCGUGGGGGAUAACGCAUCGAAAGGUGCGCUAAUACCGCAUGAGAUCGAGAGAUGAAAGCGGGGGACCGCAAGGCCUCGCGCGAUCGGAUGAGCCGAUGCCGGAUUAGCUAGUGGGCGGGGUAAAGGACCACCAAGGCGACGAGCCGGAGCCGGUCUGAGGGGAAGAUGAGCCACACUGGGACUGAGACACGGCCCAGACGCCUCCGGGAGGCAGCAGUGGGGAAUAUUGGACAAUGGGCGCAAGCCUGAUCCAGCAAUGCCGCGUGUGUGAAGAAGGCCUUCGGGUUGUAAAGCACUUUUAUCGGGAGCGAAAAGCGGACGGUGAAUACCCGUCCGUGCUGACGGUACCCGAGGAAUAAGCACCGGCUAACUUCGUGCCAGCAGCCGCCGCCGUAA
rnacentral:rRNA from 1 species